rnacentral:lncRNA from 1 species
AGAGUCCUGCCAAGGGCUACGAGGCAGAAAACUGAUAUUAUUAAAGUGGUCUUCUGAACGGACUUUAGCUGAGGUUGGUUGGGGCAGAAGUCGGGCAAGACUCAUCGGAACGGAUUAACAGAGACAGAAUCCAGAGGCAACGGGGUGAAUUCCAAGUAUAGAAAAGACACACUUGGUCUGAGGGUAUGUUUCAGCUCAGGCAUGCUGCCAUCAGGACCACGUAAAGCUGGAUUUUUCUACGCUAGUCCAUUUGCACGAUCUGGACUCAGAAGAGAUUUAAGUUUCAAAUCUGGCUUUGUCAGUUAAUGCUUGUGGGAUCUCAACCACGUCACUGACUUCUCUGAGCAUGCUUCCAUAUUUCUACAAAGGAAACAAUAGGUGACUCUGCUGAGUUGAGCACUUGCGAGUACCAAGCAGUAAGUGUUUUACACCUAUUUACUCAUUUAAUCCUCCUGAAAAUCCGUGUGACACCUGUGUUGUUAUUACCCCCAUUUGACAGGUGAGGACCUGAGGCACAGAUGCUAACCAGCUUGCUGGAGAUCACACACUCAUGAGUGGCAGAGUGGGGCUUGGAACCGGGUAGCCUGGCUCUGGAGCCCUCACUCCAUCCACACACCAUGCUGGGACCCAGUCGAGUGACCAGCAGACCGGUUGUGUGGGUUAGGUGGAAUGGUGGAUAUAAACCACACAGCCCAGCUCCUGACCCAUGCUGGGCCCUCAUUCCUCCUGAAUUCCUUCUCAUUCCUGCCGCCUUCUGAAGAAGGUGCCUUGCUUCCCCUUCACCUUCUGCCGUGAUUGUAACUUUCCUGAGGCCUCCCCAGCCAUGC